rnacentral:lncRNA from 1 species
GCCAGCUGCUUCAGCAUUGGCAGGGGCAAACUCCACUCACUGGAACCUGUGGGCGCUCAACCCUUCCCGGGAAGGGGCACGCAGGUGAGCGCUUUUGGGUGUCAGCUGGAACAAAACUCUGUGAGCCCCACGGAAGCAUCUAGCGGGGAGUACCAAUGACCUCCAAAGCCCUAGACAGCAAGUGUUACAGUGGGAGGCACCUGGUGGAAGGUAAUUGAAUCAUACGGGCGGCUUUUUCCUGUGCUGUUCUCGUGAUAGUGAGUAAGUAUCACGAGAUCUGACGGUUUUAUAAAGCGUAGUUUUCCCUGUACAAGCUCUCGCCUGCCGCCAUGUAAACGUUCUUUGCUCCUGCUUCGUCUUCUGCCGUGAUUGUGAGGCCUCCCCAGCCAUGUGGAACUACUCAUCACUCACUGCAGAUGUUACUUUAAGACAUUCUGGAGCAGCGUCAUGUGCAGGUGCGUAGUGCCUCCGCCCAUCUCUCUCUUGCUCCUGGUCUCAUCGUGACGGGCCUGGUCCUGCCUCACUUUAUGCCACGACUAAGAGCUCCCUGAGGCCUCUCCAGAAGCAGAUAUCACUAUGCUUCCUACACAGCCUGCAGAACCGUGAGCCAAUUAAACAUCUCUUCUUAUAAGUUACCUAGUCUCAGGUAUACUCUUCUGCCGAGAGACUGUACUUCUCAGCCUCCCUUGUGGCUAGGUGUGCCAUGUGACUGAGUGCUCAUGAUUGAGAUCUUCUAGGGACUGCUUGAAUUCCUUGACUCACAGUGCCUCACACCAACCUCUGGUUCUAUUGAAACUUUGUCCGGCCUCCUCCCAACCUGCCGUCUCAACCUCUAGUUUCCCUCUUAUAAGGACCUUUGUAAUUGUGAUUACAUCACACUCACCUGGAUAAUUCAGGAAAAUCUCAUCAUGUCAAGAUCCUUAACACAAUAAAAUCUGCAAAUUCCCUUUUACCAUGCAAG